AGAGUUUGAUCAUGGCUCAGGACGAACGCUGGCGGCGUGCUUAACACAUGCAAGUCGAACGGAAAGGCCCUUCGGGGUACUCGAGUGGCGAACGGGUGAGUAACACGUGGGUGAUCUGCCCUGCACUUUGGGAUAAGCCUGGGAAACUGGGUCUAAUACCGAAUAGGACCACGCGCUUCAUGGUGUGUGGUGGAAAGCUUUUGCGGUGUGGGAUGGGCCCGCGGCCUAUCAGCUUGUUGGUGGGGUAAUGGCCUACCAAGGCGACGACGGGUAGCCGGCCUGAGAGGGUGACCGGCCACACUGGGACUGAGAUACGGCCCAGACUCCUACGGGAGGCAGCAGUGGGGAAUAUUGCACAAUGGGCGCAAGCCUGAUGCAGCGACGCCGCGUGAGGGAUGACGGCCUUCGGGUUGUAAACCUCUUUCAGUAGGGACGAAGCGAAAGUGACGGUACCUACAGAAGAAGGACCGGCCAACUACGUGCCAGCAGCCGCGGUAAUACGUAGGGUCCGAGCGUUGUCCGGAAUUACUGGGCGUAAAGAGCUCGUAGGUGGUUUGUCGCGUUGUUCGUGAAAACUCACAGCUUAACUGUGGGCGUGCGGGCGAUACGGGCAGACUAGAGUACUGCAGGGGAGACUGGAAUUCCUGGUGUAGCGGUGGAAUGCGCAGAUAUCAGGAGGAACACCGGUGGCGAAGGCGGGUCUCUGGGCAGUAACUGACGCUGAGGAGCGAAAGCGUGGGUAGCGAACAGGAUUAGAUACCCUGGUAGUCCAA
rnacentral:rRNA from 1 species